rnacentral:rRNA from 1 species
UUUCCGUAGGUGAACCUGCGGAAGGAUCAUUGUCGAGCCCCGCAAGAGCAGAACGACCCGCGAACCAGUAAGACCCCACGCAGGGAGGGGGCGGCCCUCCGUGGUGCCCCGCCCCUUCCCGUCGCGGGGGGCGUGCGGCCGCGGCCCUUCGGGUCGCGUCGCGCCCCUCCCGCGACGAACAACAAACACCGGCGCAGGACGCGCCAAGGAAAACGAAACGAACGAGCGUGCCCCCGACCCCCGCAGCGGGUGCGACGGGGCGUCGCCUCUUUCACCGACGCAAAAACGACUCUCGGCAACGGAUAUCUCGGCUCUCGCAUCGAUGAAGAACGUAGCGAAAUGCGAUACUUGGUGUGAAUUGCAGAAUCCCGUGAACCAUCGAGUCUUUGAACGCAAGUUGCGCCCGAAGCCAUCCGGCCGAGGGCACGUCUGCCUGGGCGUCACGCACGCCGUCGCCCCAUCCCGCCCCGCGUCUUCCCCCAGGGGACGGGCGCGCGCGCGGGGGUGGGGCGGAACCUGGCCCCCCGUGCCCGCGAGGGCGCGGUCGGCCCGAAAAGAGGGAUUCCGGUGGCAGCGGUCACGGCCGGCGGUGGUUGUACCCAAAGCACAUUCGCGUCCCGGCGAGUGCCCCUUCACCGGUAGGAGUGCCCCCCGCGACCCUCGAGCGACGCCCCAGGGCGCCGCCCACGACGCGACCCCAGGUCAGGCGGGACUACCCGCUGAGUUUAA